rnacentral:rRNA from 1 species
ANAGUUUGAUGCUGGCUCAGAAUGAACGCUAGCGGGAGGCUUAAUACAUGCAAGUCGAGGGGUAACAGGGGCUUCGGCCCGCUGACGACCGGCGCACGGGUGAGUAACGCGUACGCAAUUUACCUCCAAGUGAGGGAUAGCCCCGGGAAACUGGGAUUAAUACCUCAUGUGGUUAUGAAGCCGCAUGGCUUCCUAACUAAAGCUCAGGCGCUUGGAGAUGAGCGUGCGUCCCAUUAGCUAGUUGGAGAGGUAACGGCUCACCAAGGCAACGAUGGGUAGGGGGCGUGAGAGCGUGGCCCCCCACACGGGUACUGAGACACGGAUCCGACUCCUACGGGAGGCAGCAGUAAGGAAUAUUGGACAAUGGAGGCAACUCUGAUCCAGCCAUCCCGCGUGCAGGAUGACGGCCCUACGGGUUGUAAACUGCUUUUGUUAGGGAAGAACUCCCCGGAUUUACUCUGGGGCUGACGGUACCUUUCGAAUAAGCACCGGCUAACUCCGUGCCAGCAGCCGCGGUAAUACGGAGGGUGCAAGCGUUAUCCGGAAUUACUGGGUUUAAAGGGUGCGUAGGCGGCGCAGUAAGUCAGAGGUGAAAGGCCGUGGCUCAACCAUGGAAUUGCCUUUGAUACUGUUGUGCUUGAAUCAGGUUGAGGACAGCGGAAUGUGGCAUGUAGCGGUGAAAUGCAUAGAUAUGCCAUAGAACACCGAUUGCGAAGGCAGCUGUCUGGGCCUGGAUUGACGCUGAGGCACGAAAGCGUGGGGAGCGAACA